rnacentral:rRNA from 1 species
CGUAGGGUGCGAGCGUUGUCCGGAAUUAUUGGGCGUAAAGAGCUUGUAGGCGGUUUGUCGCGUCUGCCGUGAAAAUCCGGGGCUCAACCCCGGACUUGCGGUGGGUACGGGCGAGACUAGAGUGUGGUAGGGGAGGACUGGAAUUCCUGGUGUAGCGGUGAAUAGCGCAGAUAUCAGGAGGAACACCAAUGGCGAAGGCAGGUCUCUGGGCCACUACUGACGCUGAGAAGCGAAAGCGUGGGGGAGCGAACAGGAUU